rnacentral:rRNA from 1 species
AUUGAACGCUGGCGGCAGGCUUAACACAUGCAAGUCGAGCGGAGAGAGGUAGCUUGCUACUGAUCUUAGCGGCGGGCGGGUGAGUAAUGCUUAGGAAUCUGCCUAUUAGUGGGGGACAACACUUCGAAAGGAAUGCUAAUACCGCAUACGUCCUACGGGAGAAAGCAGGGGAUCUUGGGACCUUGCGCUAAUAGAUGAGGCUAAGUCGGAUUAGCUAGUUGGUGGGGUAAAGGCCUACCAAGGCGACGAUCUGUAGCGGGUCUGAGAGGAUGAUCCGCCACACUGGGACUGAGACACGGCCCAGACUCCUACGGGAGGCAGCAGUGGGGAAUAUUGGACAAUGGGCGGAAGCCUGAUCCAGCCAUGCCGCGUGUGUGAAGAAGGCCUUAUGGUUGUAAAGCACUUUAAGCGAGGAGGAGGCUACUUUAGUUAAUACCUAGAGAUAGUGGACGUUACUCGCAGAAUAAGCACCGGCUAACUCUGUGCCAGCCGCCGCGGUAACAC